GGAUUCGAACCCGCAUCGUGAGAAGGGGGCGCUUACCCGACUGAGCUACCACCGCUCGCUAAACUGUAUCGCUUAUACUACAAGAAAUUCAACAUCAUCUUGAAUUUAUUUCCACCAGAAAUAAUGCAGUUACUCCAAUGAACCAGUUGUUAUGCACACUCCGAUAUUAUGCAACUGGCAGUCAGUUAAUUACUUGUGGAGAUGUGAUAGGUGUGGAAGAACCAACAGCUUGCAGAAUCAUUCAUUCAUAGAGUUACUCAUGCAAUAGCAUUAUUGUAUAAAAUAUACAUUAAAUCUCCUGAUACCAUUCAGGAACAACGUUUUGCUCUCUAUAAUGUGCAAGUAUGGUUCCAAUACAUUGCACAAUAAAUCUUGUUCUUCCCUUGUAAAAUUAGGGGCACGAACACGAGAAGAAGUUGCUUGACUAUUCAUUU